GUGGGGAAUAUUGGACAAUGGGCGCAAGCCUGAUCCAGCCAUGCCGCGUGAGUGAUGAAGGCCUUAGGGUUGUAAAGCUCUUUUGUCCGGGAAGAUAAUGACUGUACCGGAAGAAUAAGCCCCGGCUAACUUCGUGCCAGCAGCCGCGGUAAUACGAAGGGGGCUAGCGUUGCUCUGAAUCACUGGGCGUAAAGGGCGCGUAGGCGGACUGUUAAGUCGGAGGUGAAAGCCAAGGGCUCAACCCUGGAAUAGCCUUCGAUACUGGGAGUCUUGAGUUCGGAAGAGGUUGGUGGAACUGCGAGUGUAGAGGUGAAAUUCGUAGAUAUUCGCAAGAACACCGGUGGCGAAGGCGGCCAACUGGUCCGAAACUGACGCUGAGGCGCGAAAGCGUGGGGAGCAAACAGGAUUAGAAACCCUGGUAGUCC
rnacentral:rRNA from 1 species